UACGUAGGUGGCGAGCGUUAUCCGGAAUUACUGGGCGUAAAGCGCACGCAGGCGGUUUCUUAAGUCUGACGUGAAAUCUCCCGGCUUAACCGGGAGCGGUCGUUGGAAACUACUUGGCUUGAGGCGAUGAGAGGGGUGUGGAAUUCCCGGUGUAGUGGUGGAAUGCGUAGAUAUCGGGAGGAACAUCAGUGGCGAAAGCGGCACCCUGGCAUUGGCCUGACGCUCAGGUCCGAAAGCGUGGGGAGCGAACAGG
rnacentral:rRNA from 1 species